AGUGAACGCUGGCGGUAGGCCUAACACAUGCAAGUUGAACGGCAGCACAGUAAGAGCUUGCUCUUACGGGUGGCGAGUGGCGGACGGGUGAGGAAUACAUCGGAAUCUACUUUUUCGUGGGGGAUAACGUAGGGAAACUUACGCUAAUACCGCAUACGACCUACGGGUGAAAGCAGGGGAUCUUCGGACCUUGCGCGAUUGAAUGAGCCGAUGUCGGAUUAGCUAGUUGGCGGGGUAAAGGCCCACCAAGGCGACGAUCCGUAGCUGGUCUGAGAGGAUGAUCAGCCACACUGGAACUGAGACACGGCACAGACUCCUACGGGAGGCAGCAGUGGGGAAUAUUGGACAAUGGGCGCAAGCCUGAUCCAGCCAUACCGCGUGGGUGAAGAAGGCCUUCGGGUUGUAAAGCCCUUUUGUUGGGAAAGAAAAGCAGCAGGUUAAUACCCCGCUGUUCUGACGGUACCCAAAGAAUAAGCACCGGCUAACUUCGUG
rnacentral:rRNA from 1 species